CACCACCUCCACCAUCACCACCUCCUCCAUAACCUUCUCCAUCACCACCUCCUCCAUCACUUCCUCCACCAUCACCACCUCUACCUCCACCAUCACCUCCACCAUUCUACCUCUACUUCCAUCACUCCAAACUUCACUACCUCCACCACCACCAACACCACCACUGUCUCCACUAAAUCACCUCCACCACUACCAUCACUACCACCUUCACCUCCACCACCACUACCACCAUCUCUACCACCAACACUGUAGAUAAUGCAACUAACUUUUAUACAGUGCUCGUUGGCUUAAAGGGAACCUUCCUGUAUAUGUUCAAUGUUCUUUCAGGCUUGCCAGAUGAUCGAUAGUGUAGUUUUGAGUUGCUUUUUUUUUUUUGAAUUGCUUUUUGAAGUAAGUCAGAGCAAAGAUGUUUAAGCCUCUUACAUAAGUUUAAAAAAUGACAUAUAUCUCAAGAGUGGAAUUAUCAAGAUCCCUGUCAUGAAACAUCUAGAAACAUGUUAGAUUUUAUUUUUUUCUUUUACUAUGUGUGCGGGAAAGAUUAUGUACCAUUGGAACUAUUUCAGCAGAAACACACAUACAUUCAAAAGCCUUUUCAGUGAUUCUACCGGGCAAGAGAGAAAAGUUAAAUAACAAUGCAGUCAACUUCAGAUUUGUUCUUGUAAUUAUAAUCUCAACUGGUCAUCCCAGAGUGCCAGUGAUGUGGCUACCUAGGGCAAUCAUAGUUGUAAAAUGAAUGGGCCAGGGGAACGGGGUGUCACUACUCCAGAGUAACUGGUACAAAUUAGAUUCUCUGCUGAAUGCGUUGACUCUCGGGACUCGACAUUCAGAUUCAUAGCUUCCUCUGUUCGUGCUUGUCUACAACAGGGGCAACAUUUAAGGCAGGAAAGCAGUGACUAAGAAUAAUAAGGUAUGUCCUGUGUAAUGAGUGCAGGCGUGAGACAUUCCCUGGUAGGUGUGUAUGUGGAGGGCAGAGUGCUGACCCCGAGGGUGUGUGUCAGGAAUGUCUGUUUAUUGUGCUUUUCUCUCUUGCAGUCAAUGCUGAGUUACCAUGGAAAACACUGCCUCGGGGGUAAAUGCAUUUACCUUAGAAAAAUUUAUCUUAAAUGGCCUGGGUUUGGUAGACAUCUUAAUAAAUCAUCCAAUUUGUCUAUUCUGCUUCCCUACAGGUCUACACCUAAGUAAUAGCUGAGAAACUCACACUUUUAAGAUCCUCUUGAUAAGAAGGUCUCAGCGUCUGUUUAGGAUUAUGGCCUUCACACCCCAGUUUCAUGAUUGGCUAUGUUCUGUUAAAACCCUAUUCCUCACGGCCUGUUUUCAUGAGGGACCCAUAUGCACUUCCACGUGGCAGAGAAGGCAGUGGAAUCCCUAUUAGAGAUCCUGUUGGCUCUGGCAGCUCAGCUUUCAAGGCAUAACCUCUUCUACACCAAUGCCCCCAAGUCCUGCUUCUUGGAGGAAGGGAAAAACCAGGGCAGCGGAAAGUCUAUGGAGAGCCAGGAAGGGAUGAUGAACGGGAGCAAGGAGAGUUGUAGAGAACAGAAGGGAGUUAAGGGCAAGGCUGGUUAUUAGAAAGGCUGGGCAGCGCACGUUGGAUGGGUGGCGAUGGGCACCGAUUUUGGCCUUGCUGAAGUCCCAGUUGAUGAGAAGGGAGAGACAAGGGGUAUGAUUGGGGUAGCGAGGGACGGAGGGGAUAAAACAUCAAUGCAUCCAUAGAGAAAUUGUGAUUAUUAGUUCUAAUGAAUCUCCUUAGGAGUCUGUCAUGAUAAAAGAUGCGUUUCAUGUCAAGAAGAGAAAAUGUCUCAGCAGGAGUUCCGUGGGUUUCCCUGAAAUCCUUCCUUUGUUGCCUCCCCCUCUCUUCCCCUUCUUUUCUUAUCCAUGUCCCCUUCCUUCUGUUCGUGAUGGCAAAGCUUGGCUAUGGCGCACCCACCAUCUUGAGUCCUCUCCACUCCAGAUUAUGCCAGCUAAGAAGAAAUCUAUCGUGACUCCUCUAAUUUGAGGGAAUAUUAUGAGCUGGGCCAGCAAGAAGGAAAGCGGGAGGUGAGAGGUGAAAGGCAGAAUAAAAUGUGCAUAGAGAAUAUUUUCUCUUAGCUAACUGCAGGUAUAAGACACUCAGUUUUUAUUCCUCUGGCUUAAUCUCCUUGCCCCCAAUUCCUGAGACUCCUUGCUGUCAAGCUCUCAAGUGACGUGCUAGCUGCGAAGUCCUGCUGAGCUGCUGAGCGUGGCUUGGAGUCUCAUGGCCCGGCCUUGGCCCUGUCCCGGACCACGUCGCCAGCUCUGAGGAGAAAAGGCACAUAGCUGUGCUUACCUGUCAUGGUGUCUUUCCUGGAAGUGUGUUCUCCUUUAGUUCCGUGCAGGAUGGCCCAGAAGGUGGUGCCUUCAGCUCAAGUCCCAGCCAAGCUGUCAAAAAUGUGAUAUGAUAUCUGCGCCUCAAAUUGGCUUUCAUUUUUAACACAUUAAGCUUAAAACUGGAGAUUGUUAAAUUGUUCCAAGUAGACAGAGAUAGAAAUCCAAAAGAGAAGAGGAGUUCAAGGUCACUGAACUUUAAAUCGCCACCAGGAAUAAUCUGAUUUUAUCUUCCCCUUUUACUGUCCUUCUACCCACUUCAGCUUCGGUGUUAAAGCUCCCAGCCUGUUUCUUUGUGAAACUGUAUUAGUCCCCAAAGCUACUGCCCUCCACAUCGGUAGGUUCAAUGGUCCAGAGUGCGUGAGAAAGUAACGUUCUUCUUCACAGGCUCAAAACCGUUUGGUCAUCACCCUAUUUCCACCUGCUGGUCACUCUGUUUCGUCCCGACGCAUCUUCCCCUUAAGUACUGGAAGGUCUCUGAAUGCACAGCACUCUGCAUUUUAUGUUUUUGCCCAUCCUGGAAACAUCUUCAAGACUGUGCUACGGGAGAGACUUCCACGAACAGAUUUCAGAUGCAGGGACGAAGCGGCUUCCACACUGGUCCACAUGAAGUUAGUGUGACACACACUUGGCCCAUAGCUUCUCACUCUGGAAAGUGCUCAGGACACUGGGCUCAGAUCCCCAUGUGACUGUGUUAGGUCUGCGUGCAGCGACGAGCUAGUGCUGUGGGUCAAGGCUGACAACUGCCUUCACCUCGGGUCUCUCUGUGGACAGAGGGCUGAGAUGAGAAGGCUGCCAGGAGUCAGCCCUUCUCCCCCAGUCAAUGUCAGAAUCACAAUUACCGUUGAGCUCUGCCUCGAUUCCUUUUCCAUAAAUCAAGGGCAAAAAUACUCUAUCAGCUUGGAGAGUUUUAAAAACAGUAAUGCCUGGGCCUCGGGCCCUGAGAUUCUGUCUGGAUUGUUCUAAGUUUCUGUUUUCAAAAGCCGCCGGGGUGAUGUGACUUAGGAACGUGGCAGUGAACAGCUGACUUGGGGUUUCUAUGCACAGGCGCCUUGCCCAGGAAGGAUGCAGAAUGCAUUUUCAAGUGUUAAAUCCUCCGAAGCCCUGAACUGUCUGAUCCCACUGGGGAAUGUCAGAUGAGGUGUUCUCAAGGCUGACUUCUACAGGAUCAAAAAUAGGUCCCAACCUCAGAGCAGAGAGCGGCCGCAUACACACACACACACUGAGCCCCAAUCAUACCGAUUACCCACUAACCACCGGCAAUGUGAUUCAAUGUCACACGUCUACACCUCUGAUCAGGCAGCUCCAUGACCUGGCACAGCCCCUUUCCUGCUGCCUCCUGUUGAGUCUUACUUCUCCUGCCCACGUUCGCGCUAGGUAAACAGGAAGCGGGCAGCACAUGCUCAUUAAAUCACUAUUGCUAAAAGAAUCACGCCUGCGAGGUUUAGGGGAUCUUUAGCAUUGCUACUCGGGAUUUCUUCCCCC